UACGAAGGGUGCAAGCGUUACUCGGAAUUACUGGGCGUAAAGCGUGCGUAGGUGGUGAGUUAAGUCUGAUGUGAAAUCCCCGGGCUCAACCUGGGAAUGGCAUUGGAUACUGGCUCGCUAGAGUGCGGUAGAGGGUGGUGGAAUUCCCGGUGUAGCAGUGAAAUGCGUAGAGAUGCGGAGGAACACCGAUGGCGAAGGCAGCCCCCUGGGCUGACACUGACGCUCAGGCACGAAAGCGUGGGGAGCAAACAGG
rnacentral:rRNA from 1 species